rnacentral:rRNA from 1 species
UACGUAGGGGGCUAGCGUUGUCCGGAAUCAUUGGGCGUAAAGCGCGUGUAGGCGGUCCGGUAAGUCCGCUGUGAAAGUCGGGGGCUCAACCCUCGGAUGCCGGUGGAUACUGUCGGGCUUGAGUACGGAAGAGGCGAGUGGAAUUCCUGGUGUAGCGGUGAAAUGCGCAGAUAUCAGGAGGAACACCCGUAGCGAAGGCGGCACUCUGGGCCGAUACUGACACUGAGGAGCGAAAGCGUGGGGAGCGAACAGG